AGCAAAAAAAAAAUUAAAAAAAAAUUAAUGUUGUAUUUUUAAUUGAAGUAUUUUUUUCUAGUUAGUUAUAGGG
rnacentral:tRNA from 1 species